CCCUUAGAUGGUCUGGGCCGCACGCGUGCUACACUGAGUGGAUCAGCGGGUCAGGUUACGCGAGAGCGUUUCCUAAUCUUCAAAUCCGCUCGUGAUGGGGAUUGACGGUUGCAAUUUUCCGUCAUGAACGAGGAAUACCUUGUAAGCGCGGGUCAUCAUCCCGCGCUGAAUACGUCCCUGCCCUUUGUACACACCGCCCGUCGCUCCUACCGAUUGAGUGGUCCGGUGAGGCUUUGGGAUCUAAGCGAAAAGAGCGUUUCGCUCCUUUUGCUGGGAGAACUCAGUCGAACCUUAUCAUUUAGAGGAAGGAGAAGUCGUAACA
rnacentral:rRNA from 1 species